rnacentral:pre_miRNA from 1 species
ACAACAUUCGAACCGUCGGUCUGCCGAGUAAAUAUCACCAGCUCGGUGGAAGAUCUUCUCUGCGUCGU